ACUCCUACGGGAGGCAGCAGUGGGGAAUAUUGCACAAUGGGCGCAAGCCUGAUGCAGCCAUGCCGCGUGUGUGAAGAAGGCCUUCGGGUUGUAAACCUCUUUUAGCAGGGAAGAAGCGAAAGUGACGUUACCUACAGAAGAAGCACCGGCUAACUCCGUGCCAGCAGCCGCGGUAAUACGGAGGGUGCGAGCGUUAAUCGGAAUUACUGGGCGUAAAGCGCAUGCAGGCGGCCUGUUAAGUCAGAUGUGAAAGCCCGGGGCUUAACCUCGGAAUUGCAUUUGAAACUGGCAGACUAGAGUACUGUAGAGGGGGGUAGAAUUUCAGGUGUAGCGGUGAAAUGCGUAGAGAUCUGAAGGAAUACCGGUGGCGAAGGCGGCCCCCUGGACAGAUACUGACACUCAGAUGCGAAAGCGUGGGAGCAAACAGGAUUAGAUACCCUGGUAGACA
rnacentral:rRNA from 1 species